rnacentral:rRNA from 1 species
UACAGAGAGUGCAAGCGUUAAUCGGAAUUACUGGGCGUAAAGCGCGCGUAGGUGGAUUUUUAAGUCGAUUGUGAAAGCCCCGAGCUUAACUUGGGAAUUGCAUUCGAUACUGAAUGUCUAGAGUAUGGUAGAGGGAAGUGGAAUUUCAGGUGUAGCGGUGAAAUGCGUAGAUAUCUGAAGGAACACCAGUGGCGAAAGCGGCUUCCUGGACCAAUACUGACACUGAGGUGCGAAAGCGUGGGGAGCAAACAGG